rnacentral:tRNA from 1 species
CGGGACAUGGUGUAAUGGUAACAUGCAGGAUUCGGGUUCCUGAGAUUCUGGGUUCGACUCCCAGUGUCCCGA